rnacentral:lncRNA from 1 species
ACAACUCGUCUUCAACUUACAACAGACUAAGUUGGGGGAUAACCCACACAAAAGGAUUCCAUUUCUUUUCGCAACAACGAGUAAAGUAGCUCACUAAUAUGGCCCAGUCCUUAGGUAAAAUUGUUUAAGGUUUAGACUAUCCAAAUUCAGCACUCAUAAAAGAAUGGCUGAAGUGGUAAGUGAAAACCUUCCCUAAAAAUUUGUCAAUAAAAGAACAAAUGAUUUUUUCAUCCCUCUUAGAACCCUACUACAGUCUCUACCUUUCACUCCAAAGUAUACAUAUCUACAGAAUGGGGGAAUAACACCAGCAGCAACUGAAGGAGAAUGACCCUAGUGGUACCCUUUCUCAUCACACUUUACAUUUUCAACUCAAGAAGAAAGAAACCAAGAAAAGAAGAAGCUACAAGGAAUGAAAAAAAUCACAGAAACAUUUCAAAACAUGAGAAAGG